GACUCUUCCCACGUCAGCCCCGCCUCUCCUGGCUCUGUCCGGGCCAACUGGAGCCACGACAGGCUCCUCCAAGUCUCCCCUCACCUAAUAGCUGCACCUGGAUGCGAAUUGGAAGCUCGAAUUCCCAGCCGCGUCCAGGCUCCCCCCCCCCUCCAGCUUUCCACCUAAGUCGAACGAUCGACGGGUCCCCGACCCUGGCGCUGGGUAGCGACGUGCAGGACUCACCGCGGGUGAGGCGCGGACUCCGGCCAGGGCUCCGGGCUGGGCCAGGUGAGUGCAGCCGCCGCAGGUAGGACACGAGGCUCUGCCCGCAGAGGCUGAGUAAGAGGCUGACAGGUUGUUUUCCCCCUCCUCCUCUCGGUCGUUAACCACACCCCUGCUGCUCUC
rnacentral:lncRNA from 1 species